UGAAAUAAUACGGCAAUCUGAAUAAAUUGAAUGAUUUUAAUAUGACCUCACUUUAAUAUAGAUCUAGUUAUAUCAUUAUCGUUAUUAAUGGACAAUAAAUUACUGGGAAAUCAUACAUCUGAAACAAAAAAUUGCAUGUAUGGGUUAGAAUAGGACUAGCAAUAAUAAUAUAGUAUUAGAUAUUGAACAUUAAGCGUCGGUGAUAUGAAAUGUGUGUGGUGUGGAGCACUAUCACUGUAUAUGAAUUUGUAAUAUUGCUCACUGGAUGGGGGAACUCUCACACUCAUAGAAAGUCAUUGCAUAGUGUUUCAGAAGUGUCUUUUUCUCUCUUCCAAGUAAAAGGGGUAAGGUGUCUAAUCUAAGGUUUUGAUAUAUACUUUGCCUGAAAAGGUAGAGAAAGAUUGUGAUGAUUGAUUGCCAAUAUACAAUCUAAUCCAAUACAAGCCACCCUCUUCAAAGUGAUUUCCAAUAGAGUAGUGAGUUAGAGCGUGGAGUGGUCGAUGUGAAUCAUUAAGAAGAGGAGAAGAAGAGUAGUAAGGACUAAGGAGGUGAAUGAUGGUGGUGAGUAUUUGGCAAAAGAUGAUUUUUCCUGUUAGGCGUGUUUGGCUUGCUCUCUCUGCUCGACUCAAGUCUCGCAAGACUGGGGCAGGGCUGCUUAAGCUUCAUGAUGAUGUACAGACUUGUGAGUAUGAAGACGUACAAGUGAUGUGGGAAAUGCUUCAAAGAACAGAAAGUGAUGGUUCAACCAUAGUGAAGCUUCAGAAUCCAAUCACACUUAACCAACAACGUUCAACUUUGAUGCUUUAUCACUAGAAGUGCUUCUGCAAGUGUCUUCUCAUUGUCAGCAUUGCAGAGGUAUAGUUAUAAUACAUGGUCUUUACUACUUAAGUCCAAAUCAGUAUGAUGAGUUGAUGACACAACCCCAUCAUGCUUUCUCUCUCACAAUUGAAAAAUGUAGAGUACCGUAUGACAAUGAUAUGUAAAUACACCAAUGUUUGUAUAGGCCACGCCAAGAGCUUUUCUAAUACACAUGAACUUCGAUCGA